rnacentral:rRNA from 1 species
UGGUGGAGUGAUUUGUCUGGUUAAUUGCGAUAACGAACGAGACCUUAACCUGCUAAAUAGCCAGGCUAGCUUUGGCUGGUCGCCGGCUUCUUAGAGGGACUAUCGGCUCAAGCCGAUGGAAGUUUGAGCAAUAACA